AGCGAACGCUGGCGGCAGGCUUAACACAUGCAAGUCGAGCGGGCGUAGCAAUACGUCAGCGGCAGACGGGUGAGUAACGCGUGGGAACAUACCUUUUGGUUCGGAACAACACAGGGAAACUUGUGCUAAUACCGGAUAAGCCCUUACGGGGAAAGAUUUAUCGCCGAAAGAUUGGCCCGCGUCUGAUUAGCUAGUUGGUGAGGUAAUGGCUCACCAAGGCGACGAUCAGAGCUGGUCUGAGAGGAUGAUCAGCCACAUUGGGACUGAGACACGGCCCAAACUCCUACGGGAGGCAGCAGUGGGGAAUAUUGGACAAUGGGCGCAAGCCUGAUCCAGCCAUGCCGCGUGAGUGAUGAAGGCCCUAGGGUUGUAAAGCUCUUUCGGCGGGGACGAUAAUGACGGUACCCGCAGAAGAAGCUCCGGCUAACUACGUGCCAGCCGCCGCAGU
rnacentral:rRNA from 1 species